GACGAACGCUGGCGGCGUGCUUAACACAUGCAAGUCGAACGGAAAGGCCCCUUUGGGGGUACUCGAGUGGCGAACGGGUGAGUAACACGUGAGUAACCUGCCCUUGACUUCGGGAUAACUUCAGGAAACUGGGGCUAAUACCGGAUAGGAAUCCUUGCUGCAUGGUGGGGGUUGGAAAGCUUCGGCGGUUUUGGAUGGACUCGCGGCUUAUCAGCUUGUUGGUGGGGUAGUGGCUUACCAAGGCUUUGACGGGUAGCCGGCCUGAGAGGGCGACCGGCCACAUUGGGACUGAGAUACGGCCCAGACGCCUACGGGAGGCAGCAGUGGGGAAUAUUGCACAAUGGGCGGAAGCCUGAUACAGCAACGCCGCGUGCGGGAUGACGGCCUUCGGGUUGUAAACCGCUUUCAGCAGGGGCGAAGCUUGUGGUGACGGUACCUGCAGAAGAAGCACCGGCUAACUACGUG
rnacentral:rRNA from 1 species